UGGGGAAUAUUGCGCAAUGGGCGAAAGCCUGACGCAGCGACGCCGCGUGGGUGAUGAAGGCCUUCGGGCCGUAAAGCCCUGUCGGGUGGAACGAAUUCCUGCCUUGCCAAUACCGAGGCAGAUUGACGGUACCACCGAAGGAAGCCCCGGCUAACUACGUGCCAGCAGCCGCGGUAAUACGUAGGGGGCGAGCGUUGUUCGGAUUUACUGGGCGUAAAGAGCGCGUAGGUGGUUCGAUAAGUCGGAGGUGAAAGCCCUCGGCUCAACCGAGGAUCCGCGUCCGAUACUGUUGGACUUGAGUGCGGGAGAGGAGAGCGGAAUUCCCAGUGUAGCGGUGAAAUGCGUAGAUACUGGGAGGAACACCGGUGGCGAAGGCGGCUCUCUGGACCGUUACUGACACUGAGGCGCGAAAGCUAGGGGAGCAAACG
rnacentral:rRNA from 1 species